GAUUAAUUUGUAUCACUGAUGAGACCCUAAAGGUCGAAAUUAGUU
rnacentral:hammerhead_ribozyme from 9 species